rnacentral:rRNA from 1 species
UUAGUUUGAUCCUGGCUCAGAACGAACGCUGGCGGCGCGCCUAAUACAUGCAAGUCGAGCGAGAAGGUGUAGCAAUACACUUGUAAAGCGGCGAACGGGUGAGGAAUACAUGGGUAAUCUACCAUCGAGUGGGGAAUAACCAGCCGAAAGGUUGGCUAAUACCGCGUACGCCUCCGGAUCUUCGGGUUCGGAGGGAAAGCCACACUGUGAGUGCGGCGCUCUUUGAUGAGCUCAUGUCCUAUCAGCUUGUUGGUAGGGUAACGGCCUACCAAGGCUUUGACGGGUAGCUGGUCUGAGAGGACGAUCAGCCACACUGGCACUGCGACACGGGCCAGACUCCUACGGGAGGCAGCAGUAAGGAAUAUUGCGCAAUGGGCGAAAGCCUGACGCAGCGACGCCGCGUGGGGGAUGAAGGUCUUCGGAUUGUAAACCCCUUUCGGGAGGGAAGAUGGAGCGAGCAAUCGUUCGGACGGUACCUCCAGAAGCAGCCACGGCCAACUUCGUGCCAGCAGCCGCGGUAAUACGAAGGUGGCAAGCGUUGUUCGGAUUCACUGGGCGUACAGGGUGUGUAGGCGGUUUGGUAAGCCUUCUGUUAAAGCUUCGGGC